AACUCGCCGCAACACGGAAGUGAUGGAAGAUACAAACAAGCCGCGAACUGAAAGAUGCCGGCUUUUCUUUGCUUCGGGGUUCAAUAUUCAGCGGCAGCUCGACGGAGCGGUGAGGAACGAGUCGCUUUUGUCAACGUAGCGGAGGGAACGGAAAGCCUCGUUAGCCGCUUCGGAGCCCGACGGUGAUGCAGCUAACGCCGCUGCUGCUCUCCAGCCAGGAAACAGAAGAAGAGGAACAUGGCUGACAUGAUGGUGGACGAUGAGGAGAACCGUCAGAACAACCGGAUCUCCUUCAGGAGGAAGCAGCUACCAGCACUGAGAUGGCAGAGCUCUAUGGAGAAGAGUUGAGGCAGAAAAAUAAAUACAAUUUUGCUCUCGAUGAA